rnacentral:rRNA from 1 species
AACGAACGCUGGCGGCAGGCUUAACACAUGCAAGUCGAGCGCCCCGCAAGGGGAGCGGCAGACGGGUGAGUAACGCGUGGGAACGUACCUUUUGGUUCGGAACAACUCCGGGAAACUGGAGCUAAUACCGGAUAAGCCCUAACGGGGAAAGAUUUAUCGCCGAAAGAUCGGCCCGCGUCUGACUAGCUAGUUGGUGAGGUAACGGCUCACCAAGGCGACGAUCAGUAGCUGGUCUGAGAGGAUGAUCAGCCACACUGGGACUGAGACACGGCCCAGACUCCUACGGGAGGCAGCAGUGGGGAAUAUUGGACAAUGGGCGCAAGCCUGAUCCAGCCAUGCCGCGUGAGUGAUGAAGGCCUUAGGGUUGUAAAGCUCUUUUGUCCGGGAAGAUAAUGACUGUACCGGAAGAAUAAGCCCCGGCUAACUUCGUG